GCCUGGUGUGAGAAAUCAGUUUCGUAAGAUUACUGCCCCAAAUCAGCUGACGAAAGCCAUUGCAUUCUAAGUAAUUCGGUUAUAUAACUUUUCGUAAGGAAAAAAAAAACCCACGCAGAAAGAUGCAAGGAAGUUUCUGGAAGAUCAUUUCUUGCCUAACUUUUUUUUUUUUUCCUGAAGAAAUGUUGUUCCAGGGAGUGUCUGACUAGUUCUGCAGCUUGGCAAAAAAGCCAGACGUUACCUCAUAGCUGCGGCCAGACAGCCCAUUUCUAUGCCAGGCAACCACUGCAGAAGCACACAGCACAGGGCCCUGCUUGAUUAGCACUUCUGCUGUUUCGAGAGUCCUGGAGUGUUUUGUUCAAGGCCCAACAAGACAUGUCAACACCGAGGUUUGGGAAACCACAGUGGGAGAAUUUCCAAGAUUUGGAAGAGGAGAUGUGCCUCAGACGUUCCGAACUUCACUCCCAUGGGCUGAGACUGGUAAUUCCAGGUACAGCACCAGGUCCUUCUGCUCUGGAUGUCACCAAGAUCUCCUGGAGGGCUGCACUCUGGAGGUGCCUGAGGGAAGGCCACCUUCAUCCAAGUCUGUCGAGGUCCAGAGGCUGUACGCCCACGUCAGACCUUCCUUUGCACAUCCCAAAAAAGAGCAAUCAAGAAGUGACCAUCCCAGGCUGUGGGAUGAACUUCUCUAACGCACAGCUCCAAAG
ensembl:lncRNA